AACUAUGUGAUAAGUGUUUUAAAUGAGAUGGUGUCAAUAAAGCUCUUCACUUUGACAAUUGCGAAAACUGUUCCACAUCGACCUGAUGAGAUAUCUACAAACUCAAAGUCUAUAUUCUUAACUCAUACACUACGCAACACACAGAUUGUGAUUCCACACAUUGUUCCUGAACACUGCAAGACAACAAAAUGAACAUUUUGACAUCAUCACUGGCAGUCAUAUUGAUGCUGCAGUGUGUCAAGAGCAUACCAUUGCUUUCCUUCAAGGACACAGAGGUACACACGUUCAAUAAAUGUGGACCAACUAGCAACUGCCUCCCAGGUGUUACUCCAGGUCAGGGUCACAACCAAAUCCAGACAGGAAGCUCGGGCCAUGGAAGCAACAUGGGCGAAGCAAGCAACUCAAAAAGCAAAUGCGGACCAACUAGCAACUGCCUCCCAGGUGUUACUCCAGGUCAGGGUCACAAACAAAUCCAGACAGGAAGAUCGGGCCAUGGAAGCAACAUGGGCGAAGCAAGCAACUCAAAAAGCAAAUGCGGACCAACUAGCAACUGCCUCCCAGGUGUUACUCCAGGUCAGGGUCACAAACAAAUCCAGACAGGAAGCUCGGGCCAUGGAAGCAACAUGGGCGAAGCAAGCAACUCAAAAAGCAAAUGUGGACCAACUAGCAACUGCCUCCCAGGUGUUACUCCAGGUCAGGGUCACAACCAAAUCCAGACAGGAAGCUCGGGCCAUGGAAGCAACAUGGGCGAAGCAAGCAACUCAAAAAUCAAAUGCGGACCAACUAGCAACUGCCUCCCAGAUGUUACUCCAGGUCAGGGUCACAACCAAAUCCAGACAGGAAGCUCAGGCCAUGGAAGCAACAUGGGCGAAGCAAGCAACUCAAAAAGCAAAUGUGGACCAACUAGCAACUGCCUCCCAGGUGUUACCCCAGGUCAGGGUCGUAACUAAGUUGACAGUAAACCAAAGACAUUUGACCUAUUUUGUGAAAUUCCUAAUGUGAUAAAACUUUCCAAAACAAUUGUUUUAGAUAAGCAAUUUCAGAAAUGAGUCUAAAUUUGGUAGUAUUAUACAAAUGUAACUUUAAACAAAUAUAAUUGUCACAUCAAUAAGGCUCUGUGUAAACAUAAAGCUCUAGUAAAAUUGUAUUUAGUUGUUGGUA